rnacentral:rRNA from 1 species
UACGGGGGGGGCAAGCGUUGUUCGGAAUUACUGGGCGUAAAGGGCGCGUAGGCGGUUUGCUAAGUUGGAUGUGAAAACUCUGGGCUUAACCCAGAGCCUGCAUCCAAAACUAGCAGGCUAGAGUUCUGGAGGGGAUAGCGGAAUUCCUGGUGUAGCGGUGAAAUGCGCAGAUAUCAGGAAGAACACCAAUGGCGAAGGCAGCUCUCUGGGACGGUACUGACGCUGAGGAGCGAAAGCAUGGGGAGCGAACAGG